rnacentral:tRNA from 1 species
GCCCCUGUGGUGGAAUUGGUAGACGCGGUAGACUCAAAAUCUUCUGCCCGCAAGGGCGUGCUGGUUCAAGUCCGGCCAGGGGCA